GACUCGUCACACUAUCAUUAACUGAAUCCAUAGGUUAAUGAGGCGAACCGGGGGAACUGAAACAUCUAAGUACCCCGAGGAAAAGAAAUCAACCGAGAUUCCCCCAGUAGCGGCGAGCGAACGGGGAGGAGCCCAGAGCCUGAAUCAGCAUGUGUGUUAGUGGAAGCGUCUGGAAAGGCGCGCGAUACAGGGUGACAGCCCCGUACACAAAAGCGCAUGUGCUGUGAGCUCGAUGAGUAGGGCGGGACACGUGGUAUCCUGUCUGAAUAUGGGGGGACCAUCCUCCAAGGCUAAAUACUCCUGACUGACCGAUAGUGAACCAGUACCGUGAGGGAAAGGCGAAAAGAACCCCGGCGAGGGGAGUGAAAAAGAACCUGAAACCGUGUACGUACAAGCAGUGGGAGCACAGGUUUACCUGUGUGACUGCGUACCUUUUGUAUAAUGGGUCAGCGACUUAUAUUCUGUAGCAAGGUUAACCGAAUAGGGGAGCCGGAGGGAAACCGAGUCUUAAUUGGGCGUUAAGUUGCAGGGUAUAGACCCGAAACCCGGUGAUCUAGCCAUGGGCAGGUUGAAGGUUGGGUAACACUAACUGGAGGACCGAACCGACUAAUGUUGAAAAAUUAGCGGAUGACCUGUGGCUGGGGGUGAAAGGCCAAUCAAACCGGGAGAUAGCUGGUUCUCCCCGAAAGCUAUUUAGGUAGCGCCUCGUGAAUUCAUCUCCGGGGGUAGAGCACUGUUUCGGCUAGGGGGCCAUCCCGGCUUACCAACCCGAUGCAAACUGCGAAUACCGGAGAAUGUUAUCACGGGAGACACACGGCGGGUGCUAACGUCCGUCGUGAAGAGGGAAACAACCCAGACCGCCAGCUAAGGUCCCAAAGUCAUGGUUAAGUGGGAAACGAUGUGGGAAGGCCCAGACAGCCAGGAUGUUGGCUUAGAAGCAGCCAUCAUUUAAAGAAAGCGUAAUAGCUCACUGGUCGAGUCGGCCUGCGCGGAAGAUGUAACGGGGCUAAACCAUGCACCGAAGCUGCGGC
rnacentral:rRNA from 1 species